rnacentral:rRNA from 1 species
AACGAACGCUGGCGGCAGGCCUAACACAUGCAAGUCGAGCGAGGACUUCGGUCCUAGCGGCGGACGGGUGAGUAACGCGUGGGAACGUGCCCCUUGGUACGGAAUAGCCCCGGGAAACUGGGAGUAAUACCGUAUGAGCUCUACGGAGGAAAGAUUUAUCGCCAAGGGAUCGGCCCGCGUUGGAUUAGGUAGUUGGUGGGGUAAUGGCCUACCAAGCCGACGAUCCAUAGCUGGUUUGAGAGGAUGAUCAGCCACACUGGGAGUGAGACACGGCCCAGACUCCUACGGGAGGCAGCAGUGGAGAAUCUUAGACAGUGGGGGAAACCCUGAUCUAGCCAUGCCGCGUGAUCGAUGAAGGCCUUGGGGUUGUAAAGAUCUUUCAGUGGGGAAGAUAAUGACUGUACCCACAGAAGAAGCCCCGGCUAACUCCGUGCCAGCCGCCGCAGUAAUAC